AAGAGCAUGCCUUUGGGACAAUGGAUGGAAUCAGAGUUGAACUGAAGCCAACUCCAGUUUUUUAAGGAAAAAUUUUCAUGACACUUCCAGAUAAGAAAAUUGAGGCACAUAAGGAUUGAAUAACUUACAAGACUGUCUAGCAAAGUCCUCAGCUCACAGGAUGAAUGAAUGAUGACGGAACGACAAGCAAAAAUAAUAAUAAUGAGCUACACACACAAUCAUUAACAGACUAAAAGGCAGCAGGGUAACAAGAGCCCAAGAU